AAACUACUCCCUCCAUUCGGAAUUACUUGUCUCGGAAAUGGAUGUAUGUAGAACUAAAAUACGUCUAGAUACAUCCAUUUCAGCGACAAGUAAUUCCGAACGGAGGGAGUACGUA
rnacentral:pre_miRNA from 1 species